rfam:Stegodyphus mimosarum contig54807, whole genome shotgun sequence.
GCCUUCGUGGUGCAGUGGUCAGCACACUCGGCGCGUAUUCGAAAGGUCCGUGGUUCGAGUCUCGGCGAGGGCA